rnacentral:misc_RNA from 1 species
AAGUCGUAACAAGGUCUCCGUAGGUGAACCUGCGGAGGGAUCAUUAACACGUUUUUUUAAACGUUUUUCAACCAAAAAACAGGAAACGAAUAAGGUUUGAAAUGAGUUCAACUGUUGAACCACAGUUUGACAGUUGUUCUUAUUUCUCCCUUUUUUUCUUCUCAACCCUUUUCCAAUUAAAUAAUGAAUUGACCUGUAUCAUACUCAUCCUUCUUAUAAUGAUGUUUAUGUUGAUAUCUAAUAUAUGAGCACAACUCUUAGCAACGGAUAUCUUGGUUCUC